rnacentral:lncRNA from 1 species
CGCUGCCGCAGCCUCCGCCGCUCCAGCCCCGGCUCGGCAGCGCGUUCCCUCCCCGCCUCGCCGCUCCGCUCGCGGGCUCGCGGGCUCCCUCGCUCUCUCCCUGCCCCCGCCGCUGCCGGCGCCGCGCCGAGCGGAGCCCGGCCGGCCACGGGCUGCCUCUCCCGAGGUCCCUUUCCCGAGGGGGGAGGUGGUGGGGGCGCGGCGCAGGCGGGGCGGGGAGGAGAGGAGAGUCCGGGGGAGGCGGCAAGGCUGCGCCCUCGGCUCCCUUCCGAUCCUCGCGGGCCCAGCGGCCCCAGGCCGGGCCGGAGAGCGCCGAGCCGCCAGGCAGCGGAGGAAGAGAGGAGGAGGACCCGGAGUCUCGCCGCGGGAGGGUGCCCAGGGCGAGGGCGUGCGAGGGGGAGUGACUCCGCGCGCGAGGGGCAGCAGCACCUGCUUGAGACCAAGCCCGGCGACCUGGCAAGGUGGGGCCCCCUACCGCGCAAUCUUUGCGGCUGGCCCCCGGCUCUCAGCUCCGAGUGCAGAGGCUGAAGAGGUACCCGGGGGACACACUGCCUCUAACCCCACGUAUGAGCCGCUCUCCUCUCGGAGGGCGAAGGCACCAUCGGAAGGUCGAGAUUCGCCCUCCUCUCCCGCCACGUCUACCCACCACCCAGACCGGGAGUCUGGACUUGGGAGCGUGAACUCUCACCCGAGCCGGUCCCCUUACAACUGGAGCCCGCCCAGCCCCUCAGUCCCUCCCUGAAGCCCAUGGGUCCCCACUGCUCCGUGCCUCGUCUACCCAGGAUGGGGAGUGGGAAGGUCAGCAUGUGCCCACAGGGCCAGGUGUCCGGCCCAGAUUCCCACCCUCAGGGCGGCGGCGCGCAAAGGGCGCAGUCCCCGCCGCUGGGCGGACCCGCGGCUCCGGCUUUCCCGGUGUCUCCAGCCUCGGUGCCCGGAAUCCUGGAUCUCGGCCUGGCGCUCCGGAAGCGAGGCAG